GGUCUAAUUACUGGGUCAUAUGGUAACUCCUGUGUUUAAACUUUUGAAGGACUGCUAGACUGUUUCUGAAGCCACUGUACCAUUUGACAACCUACCAGCAAU
rnacentral:pre_miRNA from 1 species